CCUACGGGAGGCAGCAGUGGGGAAUAUUGGGCAAUGGGCGCAAGCCUGAUCCAGCAACGCCGCGUGAAGGAAGAAGGCCUUCGGGUUGUAAACUUCUUUUAUCAGGGACGAAGCAAGUGACGGUAACAGAUGCAUAAGUCACCGCUAACUACGUGCCAGCAGCCGCGGUAAUACGUAGGUGGCACCCGUGAUCUGGAUUUAUUGGGUGCAAAGGGCGGGUAGGCGGGAGUGCAAGUCAGAUGUGAAAACUAUGGGCUCAACCUGUGGACUGCAUUUGAAACUGUCCUUCUUGAGUGCUGGAGAGGCGAGCGGAAUUCCAGGUGUAGCGGUGAAAUGCGUAGAGAUACGGAGGAACACCAGUGGCGAAGGCGGAUUGCUGGACAGUAACUGACGCUGAGGCGCGAAAGCGUGGGGAGCAAACAGGAUUAGAUACCCCAGUAGUC
rnacentral:rRNA from 1 species